AAUGCAUGUGUGCUUAAUUUAGCA
rnacentral:siRNA from 1 species